rnacentral:rRNA from 1 species
UGAACCGCAUGGUUCAGACAUAAAAGGUGGCUUCGGCUACCACUUACAGAUGGACCCGCGGCGCAUUAGCUAGUUGGUGAGGUAACGGCUCACCAAGGCGACGAUGCGUAGCCGACCUGAGAGGGUGAUCGGCCACACUGGGACUGAGACACGGCCCAGACUCCUACGGGAGGCAGCAGUAGGGAAUCUUCCGCAAUGGACGAAAGU